GCGUCAGUGUACCGCGUGGGGCACGUGUGACUCGCGAAAGAAAACCACGCGCGUCAGGUUGUGUGUUGCAUUUUGUGCACACGCUGAGUUGGAAAAUAUGAACUCCGGUGUCAAAUCACGCCCCGACAACCAAUCAGGAGCCUGGUGACGUGGCUGUAACUAGGUCAAAGGGGCAGAUCCAGUCACCCCGUAUGGAGGAAAAGCUCAUCUGUGCCGUGGCUAAUCAUCCAGAGCUAAAUGAUGCAUGUUGCUACUUCUACCGAGACAGGAAUAAAACGGACCUAGCUUGGAGGCACAUUAGUGAGGAGAUUGGGCAACCUGGUAAGUUCAUUCAUUCUGCUUUUUAAUUUCCAGACUGACCCAAUGAAACCGUGCAAAAGCUAGCAAGCCCACCUACUGUCCUGAUAUUUUCCCACUGAUGUACAAAUACCUUUCCGCUAACAAGAUAAUGUGUUUAUUCAGAGGACAUCUGCAGCACAACACAUCUGGCACAACUUCCUCCCACAUUUCCGGUUCACGUGCGUGGAAACAUGCAAUUUUGAGGCGCGGUGGAUUUUCCCUGGACACGCGUUGAGGUGCAAAUGUGCACGCGUGACAUUAGGGGCGUUUGGGCGUUUUCGCUCGCCUCUUUCGCGUCCGGUGUGAACGCACCGUAAGGCUUCCGCUCCUCACAGCGCGCGUUUGCACUGUGAGGGAGCUACAAUUGCUGUACCACCAGAAGACACCUGUUAAGUGUUUUCUGUCUUCUGCAG